UACGUAGGUGGCAAGCGUUGUCCGGAGUUACUGGGCGUAAAGCGAACGCAGGCGGACUGUUAAGUAGAAAGUGAAAGGUCGGAGCUCAACUCCAACAUUGCUUUCUAUACUGGCAGUCUUGAGUAGCGGAGAGGAAGGGGGAACGACACGUGUAGCGGUGAAAUGCGUUGAUAUGUGUCGGAACACCCAUGGCGAAAGCACCCUUCUGGACGCAAACUGACGCUCAGGUUCGAAAGCCAAGGUAGCGAACAGG
rnacentral:rRNA from 1 species